UGGUGGAGUGAUUUGUCUGGUUAAUUCCGUUAACGAACGAGACCUCGACCUAUUAACUAGGGAAUACGACCUUUACGGUUGUUGACUCUUCUUAAAGGGACUAUCGGUUCGUAGCCGAUGGAAGCUCGAGGCAAUAACA
rnacentral:rRNA from 1 species